AAUUCAGUAGCUUGCUACUGUUAGGGGGGUCCGUCAGUCUGUAUAGUAUCACUACUGAUGAGCAGCACGACCCUCUGUCUAUACCCUUGUCUUUUGCGCACUCAUGUUUCCUCGGCGGCUUCAUACCCGCCGGCUGGAUCAAUCUAUAACCUUUUUAAUUUUCGAUCAGCGUCUGAAAAACCUAAUAAUUA
rnacentral:misc_RNA from 1 species